AUAUAGACGCUCGGAUCUGCCUCUCGCAUCUUGUGAAUCUAAAUAAUAAAAUAUAGCAUAGAAAUCGGGGGGGGGGGGAAUCCAAGUUUGGGUGAAGCAGAGUUAGUCCUGCAUGAGUCCGAAUUGCAUGGUCGCGGAAAACUGUGGCUCUUAAGAUCUUUGGGCGAUAAAAACGAUAAAAAGAUGGUUCGUAAGAACGCGAUUGUAUAUGUAGUCUGCCUGUUUCCUAUAGAAAAAGCACAAAUGUCUGCCACGGUAUAAGCCCCUAUCACCUCUGCUGGGAAGCUCUUCUAUUCAUCUACAACCCUUACUUUAAGAGACAUUCAGACUUCUAUUCUUUUCUUUAAACAGAUGUCUCGCAGGAAACGGCCGGUUAUCUGCGACACGCUUCAGGUGGGCACUAAGGAUGACAGGGUGGGCAUUGGGCAAUAAUUGUGCCCCAACGCUAAGCAGAUGGUGUUGGCUUAAUUAAAGCUGUUCUUUUUUUUAACGUUAA